CAACACUAUGGCCUUGACAAUAACUAAAAGUUUUCUCACCUUGGAAUGGCAGAUGGAGUCUCGCUCAGUCGCUCAGGCUGGAGUGCAGUGGUGCGAUCUCGGCUCACUGCAACCUCUGCCUCCCGGGUUCAAGUGCUUCUUCUGCCUCAGCUUUGUGCAGGCUAUACCAAGAAAACACUGUUGAAGUCUAAGAGGUGAAGUGUGGACGAUAAAAGAAACCCUAUGCAUGCUUCAGCCACAGCAAUUGAUACACAUUUUGAGUUUCCAAGUGAAAAUACAUUGGAAGAAAGUGACAGAUAGCUUUAAAAUAUGUACAUGAUUGUACCACGGUAUUUUAUCUCCCCACAUCAGUGCUCAACAUUUUGGACUUAAUUUUCAAACCAUUCAAUUUUUUCUGAGUAAAUUCUCUGUCCCUAGAUUAAUCCCAUUCAUACACUAAGAUCUUGAAAAAGAAAAAAAGAGGAGACAUGAAAAGGUCUGUGUGUGCGAUAGACCCCAGAUGCUUCAAGAAAUUAUCCCUGAACUUCAAAAAAUAUACUCAAAGACACUAAUAUCUUUUGAUUGCUGGUUCAGUUAUUCACUUCUUUUCUAUGUUAAUAACAAAAUCAACAACAAAAGAAACAGGAAAAAAGGCCUUGAUAGAGGAAGAAUUCUGAGCACAUAGGCAUUUGAAUAAAAAUCUUCCUAAGUGAUGAAUUUUACUGCUGUGUGUUUCUAAAAUGAAGCAGUACCGACGCAUUUGUGCCAUUCAUUUCCAUACAAUUUGUAAAGUUAUUACCUAUUUGGAAUAUUACCCACUUUUUUCAUGUACAACAUAAAAAUUUAUGAUGGAUACCCUUUAAAUGUGUAUCUAAAAGUAUGCAUUACAAUAAAGUAUGAUUUGUG
rnacentral:lncRNA from 1 species